rnacentral:rRNA from 1 species
UACGUAGGGUGCGAGCGUUGUCCGGAAUUAUUGGGCGUAAAGGGCUCGUAGGCGGUUUGUCGCGUCGGGAGUGAAAUCCACUGGCUUAACUGGUGGCUUGCUUUCGAUACGGGCAGACUGGAGGUAUGCAGGGGAGAACGGAAUUCCUGGUGUAGCGGUGGAAUGCGCAGAUAUCAGGAGGAACACCGAUGGCGAAGGCAGCCCCCUGGGCUAACACUGACGCUCAGGCACGAAAGCGUGGGGAGCAAACAGGGAUAGAA